rnacentral:rRNA from 1 species
GGGAAAAGCUCAAAUUUAGAAUCUGGCAGUCUUUGAUUGUCCGAGUUGUAAUUUGUAGAGGAUGUUUUGGGUACCGCCCCGGUCUAAAUUUCUUGGAACAGAAUGUCAAAGAGGGUGAGAAUCCCGUCUUGGACCGGCGGUAGGGCCUGUGUAAAACUCCUUCGAC